rnacentral:miRNA from 1 species
UAAGUUUGUUCUUGGUAUAAGCUUUCGUGUGCAUGCAUACUGAAAGCUGAUACCAAGAACAAACUUA